UUCAAUUCUUACUGCACCAAACCCCAAUACAAUUAACCUCAGGAAGAGGUCAUUAGGAUAAUCAAGUGGCCAAGUAGACCUGGAUGCAUGGUAUUAACACACAAGGAAAAGUAAACAGCUAUGAGGCAAGGAAUGGGGUAAGGGGGAACAUGAUAAGCUAAACUAGUAAGGGCAUGCUAGUGACAAUAAGAAUAGCAGAACCAUAAAUAAAAACACACAAGGAACAAGAUGAAGUGCAAGACUAACAAAAACAUAUUGUUUUGGGGACUGAAAAUUAGAUGAGUAACAUACCAGUUUCAGGAAAAUAGAACACAAAGAGCAACAAUGCACAAGAUGAGCAGAGUGAGCAGAGAAUGAGGGCAGGAAUGUGAGAACAUCAGUGCAGAGAAGCAAACAGCAGGUAAACACCCAAGUAACCAAUGUAGUAGAACCUUAUAAUGUAGAAAUAAACAGCCAAGAUUACUCAAUCUUGGCUUUCAGCCGAUUGAGUGAGAGAGUUUGUAGAAAAACAAUAGAGAAAUAGAGAGCACUGAGUAUUAUUGAAAGAAAGUUCAGAGAGAUUGUAAUGUCUUGGUG
rnacentral:lncRNA from 1 species